GACGAACGCUGGCGGCGUGCCUAAUACCUGCAAGUCGAACGCAGUGGGGACUGGUGAGUAACACGUGGGUAACCUCCCAUCAGAGGGGAUAACACUUUGAAACAGGUGCUAAACCGAUACUGAUUGAUGGACCCGCGGUGCAUUAGCUAGUUGGUGAGUUAACGGCUCACAAAGGCCACGAUGCAUAGCCGACCUGAGGGGGUGAUCGGUAACACUGGGACUGAGACAAGGCCCAGACUCCUACGGGAGGCAGCAGUGGGGAAUUUUCGGCAAUGGACGAAAGUCUGACCGAGCCACGCCGCGUGAGUGAAGAAGGUUUUCGGAUCGUAAAACUCUGUUGUUAGAGAAGCGGUAUCUAACCAGAAAGCCACGGCUAACUACGUGCCAGCAGCCGCGGUAAUAC
rnacentral:rRNA from 1 species